GAUCAAGCUACAAAGAGCACAUAAUGGAUGCCUUGGUGCCAAUAGGCGAUGAAGGACGUGGCUAACUGCGAUAAGCCUCGGAGAGCGGUAAACACGCUGUGACCCGGGGAUUUCCGAAUGGGAUAACCUGAGUGGGGUAACACCUGCUCGAGUCUCUGUGAAUACAUAGCAGGGACAUCGCGACACCCGGUGAAGUGAAACAUCUCAGUAACCGGAGGAAAAGAAAGCGAAAGCGAUUCCGUAAGUAGUGGCGAGCGAAAGCGGAAGAGACCAAACCAGCAGUUUACUGCUGGGGUUGUAGGAGCCCGAUGUGGUAGUGCAA
rnacentral:rRNA from 1 species